GAAUAUUGGACAAUGGGCGAAAGCCUGAUCCAGCCAUGCCGCGUGAGUGACGAAGGCCUUAGGGUUGUAAAGCUCUUUUGGCGGGGAAGAUAAUGACGGUACCCGCAGAAUAAGCCCCGGCCAACUUCGUGCCAGCAGCCGCGGUAAUACGAAGGGGGCUAGCGUUGUUCGGAAUCACUGGGCGUAAAGCGCACGUAGGCGGAUUUGCCAGUCAGGGGUGAAAUCCCGGGGCUCAACCUCGGAACUGCCUUUGAUACAGCAAGUCUUGAGUUCGAGAGAGGUGGGUGGAAUUCCUAGUGUAGAGGUGAAAUUCGUAGAUAUUAGGAAGAACACCGGUGGCGAAGGCGGCCCACUGGCUCGACACUGACGCUGAGGUGCGAAAGCGUGGGGAGCAAACAGG
rnacentral:rRNA from 1 species